GCUCCAACCCACACGCCCCCCAUAAGAAGCGCAGGUGCUGCUCUGCUCCCCGCAGCGCAACGGAGAAAGAGCGCGCCGCGGCGAUCUUCCCAAAUCGACGAAUCGAGAGAGACCGGCCGGCCGGUUCGGGCGCGAUGGCGAGCCCCGGCGAGCGAGACGUGGCGCAGCACCCGGACUACGGCUGCUUGAAGCUGUUCCGCCGCCGGCGCCUCCUCGCCUUCCUCCGGCUCAACAACCUCUCCGCCACCUUCGACUCGCUGAACAACGAGACGCCUCAUCGCCUGCCUUCUUCGACCUGCGCUUCCUGCAGCGCCUGGUGGAGGGUGGCCGGUGGGACGAGGCCAAAGGGUACAUGAGCCGCUUCAUGCCGUCGCGGGACCAGAUGGGGGUGGAGGCCCGCACCGCCCUGAGGUUCAUUGCCCUACUCAACGAACUCGACGACCUCGCCCACGGCAAUCCGGCGGGCGCCCAAAUGGUCCAACUCCUCGACUGGCGACUCGAUGCUCACCCGUCCGUCAUGGAUGCCGACCCCCACUGCGCAGAGAUCAUCCGCACCAUCUUCCACGUGCGCUCCCACCACCCAGAGCUCAGGCGGUUUCCUUCAGCAAGGGAUUUACUUGGAAAAUCAUAAAGUCAAUUAGUCAAAACCUGAUUAUUCCUGUAUAUGAGCACUCGUUGAUGAACAUAAGUUUUAAUCUCAAUGGCAGGGUUAUCACGUAACCCAAUGGCCUGGGUGGAGACAAUGAUUGAAGAAGCUUUGGUACCUCACCGGUAGUUGGUGAAAUAGAGAAGAUUGAGGAACAUUCGCUUCAGUAUUCUUGUGGUGAAGGCAUUACUGGUGCUCCAGUUGCCCCAAGUCCUGGAGAAAAACAUGGAAUUGCAUCUGCUAAUGCAACAUAGGUUGGAGAAGAUAGAUUCAACUACAUUGCUUGAGUCUCCAUAUUAUUACAAAAACCUUCAUAUGUAUGCCUCGGUGUGUUUGCCCCUCAACCAAGCUAUUAAUUACAACUACUAAACUGAGAUUGCAAAUCCCCAA